rnacentral:lncRNA from 1 species
UCUUUCGGCUACUCGCUGAAAUCCUUUUUGCCUUAGUCGGUAGGUCUCUAGACGUUACUGAGAACCCGAACAACCCAAACUGGUAAUCUCCGAUACCGCUUUAUACUCACGGCCUUAUAUCCACUGACUAUCUUGUUAGAUUUACACAAAAAUUUUCAUUCACUCUGCAUACUCAAUCCUAUAGACACCCUUUUAAUUCUUCAAUCACAGAUGUAACUUUGAUUUCGCAAAAC